AGUGAACGCUGGCGGUAGGCCUAACACAUGCAAGUCGAACGGUAGCACGGGAGAGCUUGCUCUCUGGGUGGCGAGUGGCGGACGGGUGAGGAAUACAUCGGAAUCUACUCUGUCGUGGGGGAUAACGUAGGGAAACUUACGCUAAUACCGCAUACGACCUACGGGUGAAAGCAGGGGAUCAUCGGACCUUGCGCGAUUGAAUGAGCCGAUGUCGGAUUAGCUAGUUGGCGGGGUAAAGGCCCACCAAGGCGACGAUCCGUAGCUGGUCUGAGAGGAUGAUCAGCCACACUGGAGCUGAGACACGGUCCAGAGUCCUACGGGAGGCAGCAGUGGGGAAUAUUGGACAAUGGGCGCAAGCCUGAUCCAGCCAUACCGCGUGGGUGAAGAAGGCCUUCGGGUUGUAAAGCCCUUUUGUUGGGAAAGAAAUCCAGCUGGCUAAUACCCGGUUGGGAUGACGGUACCCAAAGAAUAAGCACCGGCUAACUUCGUGCCAGCAGCCGCCGUAA
rnacentral:rRNA from 1 species